rnacentral:rRNA from 1 species
GACGAACGCUGGCGGCGUGCUUAACACAUGCAAGUUGAACGGAAAGGCCCUGCUUUUGUGGGGUGCUCGAGUGGCGAACGGGUGAGUAACACGUGAGUAACCUGCCCUUGACUUUGGGAUAACUUCAGGAAACUGGGGCUAAUACCGGAUAGGAGCUCCUGCUGCAUGGUGGGGGUUGGAAAGUUUCGGCGGUUGGGGAUGGACUCGCGGCUUAUCAGCUUGUUGGUGGGGUAGUGGCUUACCAAGGCUUUGACGGGUAGCCGGCCUGAGAGGGUGACCGGCCACAUUGGGACUGAGAUACGGCCCAGACUCCUACGGGAGGCAGCAGUGGGGAAUAUUGUACAAUGGGCGGAAGCCUGAUGCAGCAACGCCGCGUGCGGGAUGACGGCCUUCGGGUUGUAAACCGCUUUCGCCUGUGACGAAGCGUGAGUGACGGUAAUGGGUAAAGAAGCACCGGCUAACUACGUG